GUUUAGCCCAGAUUGAAGUGGCAUCCUUUUUAGAACUGUUCUUUUAAAUUUGCGAAGAAUGAACAAAUUUAAAAAGAACAGCUGUAAAAAGAUAUAACGGAAAGCUGGAAAUAGC
rnacentral:sRNA from 1 species